GAUGAACGCUAGCGGCAGGCUUAAUACAUGCAAGUCGAGGGGCAUCAAGGUACACGAAAGUGUAUUGUUGGCGACCGGCGGACGGGUGAGUAAUAGGUAGGUAACCUACCUCAUACUGAGGCAUAGCUGGGAGAAAUUCCAGGUAAUUCCUCAUGAGGUUAUAUGACACAUGUGAUAUAAUCAAAGGUAUCGCAAGGUACUGGUAUGAGAUGGGCUUACUGACCAUUAGCUAGUUGGUGAGAUAAGAGCUCACCAAGGCGAAGAUGGUUAGGGGUUUUGAGAGAGAGAUCCCCCACAUUGGAACUGAGAUACGGUCCAGACUCCUACGGGAGGCAGCAGUAGGGAAUAUUGGGCAAUGGGCGGAAGCCUGACCCAGCCAUGCCGCGUGAAGGAAGACGGCCUUAUGGGUUGUAAACCUCUGUCAUGGGGGAAGAAGUAAGUGACGGUACCCCAAGAGGAAGCCCCUGCUAACUACGUG
rnacentral:rRNA from 1 species